UACGUAGGGAGCGAGCGUUAUCCGGAUUUAUUGGGUGUAAAGGGUGCGUAGACGGGAAGUCAAGUUAGCUGUGAAAUCCCUCGGCUUAACUGAGGAACUGCAACUAAAACUGAUUUUCUUGAGUACUGGAGAGGAAAGUGGAAUUCCUAGUGUAGCGGUGAAAUGCGUAGAUAUUAGGAGGAACACCAGUGGCGGAGGCGACUUUCUGGACAGAAACUGACGUUGAGGCACGAAAGUGUGGGGAGCAAAC
rnacentral:rRNA from 1 species